AGGAUAAACGCUGGCGGCGUGCCUAACACAUGCAAGUCGAACGUCUCUUCUUUCGGGAAGAGGAGUGGCGGACGGGUGAGGAACACGUGGGAACCUGCCCUUCAGUGAGGAAUACCGGCGAGAAAUCGCCGACAAGACCGCAUAGCCCUCUCUGGUGAGAGCCAGAGAAGGAAAGCCUCGCAAGAGGCGCUGGAGGAGGGGCCUGCGUCCGAUUAGCUAGUUGGUGGGGUAAGAGCCUACCAAGGCGUCGAUCGGUAGCUGGUCUGAGAGGACGAUCAGCCACACUGGGAUUGAGAACGGCCCAGACUCCUACGGGGGCAGCAGUGAGGAAUUUUCGGCAAUGGGGAAACCCUGACCGAGCAACGCCGCGUGCAGGAAGACGGCCUUCGGGUUGUAAACUGCUUUUCUUGGGUACGAGCGAAGGACGGUACCAGAGGAAUCAGCCCGGCUCACUACGUGCCAGCAGCCGC
rnacentral:rRNA from 1 species